rnacentral:rRNA from 1 species
CUGGAACGCGUUCGGCGCACCCAGAAACCCUUUGUGAACUUAUACCUUACUGUUGCCUCGGCGCAGGCCGGCCCCUCCACCGGGGCCCCUCGGAGACGAGGAGCAGCCCGCCGGCGGCCAACCAAACUCUUGUUUCUUAGUGAAUCUCUGAGUAAAAAACAUAAAUGAAUCAAAACUUUCAACAACGGAUCUCUUGGUUCUGGCAUCGAUGAAGAACGCAGCGAAAUGCGAUAAGUAAUGUGAAUUGCAGAAUUCAGUGAAUCAUCGAAUCUUUGAACGCACAUUGCGCCCUCUGGUAUUCCGGAGGGCAUGCCUGUUCGAGCGUCAUUUCAACCCUCAAGCCUGGCUUGGUGUUGGGGCACUGCUUCGAGAGAAGCAGGCCCUGAAAUCUAGUGGCGAGCUCGCCAGGACCCCGAGCGUAGUAGUUAUAUCUCGUUCUGGAAGGCCCUGGCGGUGCCCUGCCGUUAAACCCCCAACUUCUGAAAUUUUGACCUCG